rnacentral:tRNA from 1 species
UCCUGGUGGCUUAGCUGGUAAAGAAUCCGCCUGCAAUGCGGGAGACCUGGGUUCGAUCCCUGGGUCGGGAA